ACGGGUGAGUAAUAUAUAGCUAACGUGCCCUUCGGACGGGGAUAACAGUUGGAAACGACUGCUAAUACUCGAUACUCCAUUUUUAUUGAUUAAAGAUGGGAAAUGUUUUUUCGCCGAAGGAUCGGGCUAUAUCGUAUCAGUUUGUUGGUGGGGUAAUGGCCUACCAAGACUAUGACGCGUAUCUGGUUUGAGAGGAUGAUCAGACACACUGGAACUGAGACACGGUCCAGACUCC
rnacentral:rRNA from 1 species